GACGAACGCUGGCGGCGUGCUUAACACAUGCAAGUCGAACGGAAAGGCCCUGCUUUUGUGGGGUGCUCGAGAGGGGAACGGGUGAGUAACACGUGAGUAACCUGCCCUUGACUUUGGGAUAACUUCAGGAAACUGGGGCUAAUACCGGAUAGGAGCUCCUGCUGCAUGGGGGGGGUUGGAAAGUUUCGGCGGUUGGGGAUGGACUCGCGGCUUAUCAGCUUGUUGGUGGGGUAGUGGCUUACCAAGGCUUUGACGGGUAGCCGGCCUGAGAGGGUGACCGGCCACAUUGGGACUGAGAUACGGCCCAGACUCCUACGGGAGGCAGCAGUGGGGAAUAUUGCACAAUGGGCGGAAGCCUGAUGCAGCAACGCCGCGUGCGGGAUGACGGCCUUCGGGUUGUAAACCGCUUUCGCCUGUGACGAAGCGUGAGUGACGGUAAUGGGUAAAGAAGCACCGGCUAACUACGUG
rnacentral:rRNA from 1 species